UCUGUUUAGUUGUUGCCUAACAUUGCCAUAACUCAAUUUGCUAUAGAUGUGGCAUGGCAAACAAUUUGUGGCCACAAGUGUGGCAAUGUUUGGCUAGAAAAUGAGUAUACGACAUGUAAGCCCAUGAAACAAAAAAGUGUGGCUUGCCACAACUGAAACAAACAACCAAACGCUAAGCUAACAAUCUGUGGCAUGCUUAACAUGUGGUGUGGAUGUGUGGCACCAAACCAAACAGCCCCUUUUCACCAGCAACUAAACAAAACAAAGGAAAAUUUUGUUCCCUUUUUUAUUCCUUUGACAAAACAAAGAAAAUUACGCUGCCAAGUCGUGGUAACUGAUUAAUUAGUACACGGGAAACGAACGUCACAAAGGAAAAGAAUCUUCCAGUAGGCCCUGCGGGUGGCCAGCUGAAUAAUAGAGCCAUGCAUGCAUGUAAACAAGUGACUCGACCUUCCCUAGUAUAUGACACUGAUCAGAAUGUAAUUACUUUGCAUGAUGCUUUUGCCUAACUCUGUGGAUGCCUUGCACAGUCCACACUUAUGCUAGCUAAAGUGUAUAUAUAUCCUCUAAUCGACUAGCAUGGUAGAUAUAUAACCCGCAUGUAUGCAUCUUUGUUGUAAACUUGUGCACUUGUGCUUCCUGCUCCUCUGAAAAUUAAUUAUUCAAUCAGCACAAGUUUUCCUAGGCAAAUUAAUUAGCUAUCUAACUGAUUAAGAUGCAUACUACUACUACUACUACAAGUUUCUUGCUCCAAACUCUACUUCUGCUAGUGCUGGUGAUUCUUCCGUCCACAAUGGCGGACAUUGCGGAUUCUACUGCUCCAAUCGGUUGCCAGAGCUGCUUCUGCGAUGAAGCCGCAACACCGUCAGCAAACGAAGGGCAGAUGCAGUUGUCGAUUCAGGCUGCAACAGGCAGACGAGGGCGUCCUCCUUUCAUCCCCCAUUGCGAUGGAAAUCCUCGAAGGGUGGGUGAUAGCUCUGAUCCGUCCCCUCUACCUGGUUCUGCAGUGCACCCUCCCAGUACACCUUGCAACUACCCAGGCCAACUUGGUUGCCCUCAUUGAUAUAUAGUUCGUGCUACUCAGAAGAUGCUGAAAGUAAAUAUCAGACUUAUUACAAUAAAGCGCUCAUACAUGUAUGUUUGGUCAUCGAUCUCGAUGUGUGAAACCUUGUACAUCCCUGAUUUUUCACCGAACAAACGAGUGCUUUCCGCUA